rnacentral:lncRNA from 1 species
AUAAAAUUCAAUGAUAGAAAACAUGCAGAAUUAUCUUGUAGAAGAAAUAGAGAAAAUGGAGAACAAGAGAGGCUAUUAAAGACAGGAAUUAAUUUAUGGCAGGGUAGGGAGGCUCAUGCCUGUAAUUCCAACAUUUCGGGGAGCCAAGGUUGGUGAACUGUUUGUGCUCAGGAGUUUCAGUCCAGCCUGAGCAACACGGCAAAACCCCAUCUCUACAAAAAAUACAAAAAUUAGCCAGGCGUGGUGGCGCAUGCCUGUAAUCCCAGCUACUUGGAAGACUGAGGAGAAAGGAUCGCGUGGGCCCGGGAGGUUGAGGCUGCAGUGAGCUGUGAUGAUAAAUACAGAAAUAAAUAAAAAGAAGAAAGGAAUUAACUUUUGUUUAGGGAAUACUAUGCCAAACACUGUAGCAGGCAAUUUGUAUAUACCAUCUUAUCUAAUCUUACCAUAACACCAUGAGUCAGAUAUUCAUAUUUCUCAUUUUUAUAUCUAUAGAUAAAGAAACCAGGACUCAAAGAUGAAGUAACUUGUUCAAAGUCUGGCAGCUACUAAGUGACAGAGCUGAAAUUCAAGCCACCAACUACAAGAUGGACUAAGGGGGCGCAAACCCCCCUGGGUGAAACAACAAAAAGAAAAACAGAUAAAAUAUAUUAAACAACAGCUCUCAAGAUACUAGCAUCAGGCAACAAACCAAAGUGAUCCCUGUGAGAUAGUAAACAAAUGAGGUGAACCCUAUGACAGGUGCAACUUACUGCUUUGCAGAGUUUCCAGGCCAUGACACUAAGAGGAGAUAUCCAAGCAGAGCCCAGUGAAUGACCCAGAUUGAGGAGACAGAGCUGAAAGUCCAAGAAGACCCAAGGCAGCUGGAAUUUGCAAGACCGAGUACCAGAGAAAAGAGGGCUGAGCAGAGAUAGAAUUCCAGAGAUUUGUAAAGGGUCUCCCUUAAGUAUUUAGCAGAGUAUUAAUCAUUGUAGGCAUUUGAGGCAGUUACCUGUGGCCAGGAAAAAAACCACCCAAGAGGAUUAAAGGAAACAGUGUUUUAGCACUCACACAAGGCCAGAAAUAGCCUAUUUUCCCAUCCAGAUUGACUUAACUUCGUAAUUUGUGGGGCUUUGGGUAAAAAAGUCUACUCAUUAGUUAGUCUUACCUCAGUAGUAGGGAAUAAGUAGAUGUAGACUAAACACUAUACUGGUACCACCAAAAAAGCUUUAAAAACAGACUUAAAAGAAGUAAAUGCUUUUCAAGUAAUUUAACUGCAUCCUAGAACAAAAGACAUGCAAUUGGAGUCCCUGAAAGGAGGAUGUGAGAAAAAAUAUUACAGGAAAUAAUGACUAAAAUUGUUUCAAAUUUGAUGAAAGGAUAGACACAAGAAACUCAACAAAACUCAAAGCGUACAAGAAACAUGAAGAAGCCAGGUGCAGUGGCUCAUACUUGUAGUCCCAGCUGCUUGGGAGGCUGAGGCAGGAGGAUCUCUUGAGCCCAGUAGAUUGAAUCUGCAGUGAGCUGUGAACGCACCACUGUACUCCAGCCUGGGAGACAGAGCAAGACCCUAUCAAAAAAAAAAGGAAGAGACAUGAAGAAAACUACACUAAGGCACACAAUAAUCAAACUGCUCAAAAUCAGUGAUAAAGUGAAAAUCUUAAAUGCAACCAGAAGGAAAAAGACAUUAUAUACAGAGAAACAACGAUAAGGAUGACAUUAGAUUUAACUUCAGUAAUAAUGCAAUCCAGAAAACAGUGGAACAACAUUUUUAAAGUGCUGAAAGAAAAAAGCUAGAAUUCUACUCUCAGUAAAAAUGUCUUUAUAAGAAUUUUUUUCCUUUUUUUCUUUUUUCCUUGAGAUGAAGUCUCACUCUGUUGCCCAGGCUGUUCUUGAACUCCUGAGCUCAAACAACUCUCUGCCUUGGACUCCUAAAGUGCUGGGUGGGAUUACAGGCGUGAACCACCGUGCCUGGCCAGGACAUUUUUGGACAUACGAAGCUGAAAGAGUUCAUCACCAGCAAAUCCAUACUACAAAAAAUGUUAAAGAAAUUCUUCAGGCAGAAGAAAAAUACCCUAUAUGAAAAUUUUAAUCUGCACAAAUAAAUGAAGAGAACCAAAAAUGGUAAUACAUGGCAUGAUUGUUAAUUUUAUGUGCCAACUUAGUGGCCAUGAGGUGCCCAGAUUAAACAUUAUUCCUGGAUGUGUUUGUGAGGGUGUUUCUGAAUGAGAUUACAUUUGAAUCAGCGGACUCAGUAAAGUAGAUUGCCCUCCCAGUGUGGAUGGGCCUCAUCCAAUCUGUUAGGAGCCUAAAUGGAAUAAAGUGUGGCAGAAAGGAAAAUUCACCCCUUUUGCUUCCUGCCUGUCUGGUUGAACUGAGACAUCUCAUCCCAUCUUCCCUAGCACUCAGAUUGGGAUUUACAACACCAGGUCCCUUGGUUCUCAGGCCUUUGGACUUGGACUGAAUUACACCACUGCUUUCCGCGGUCUCCCAACUCGUGGAUGGCAGACUGUGGGACUUCUUAGCCUCCAUAAUCAUCGGAGCCAAUUUCUCAUAAUAAACAUAUUUACUAUACCCUACUGGCUCUGUUUCUUUGGAGAACUCUGACCAAUACACAUGAGUAAAUACAUAAAGUAUUUUUUCUUAUUUACAUCUAUUAAAAGAUAGUUGACUGUUUACCCAACAGUAGUAACAAUGUGUUUGGGGGUUUAUAAUAUAUGUAAAGGUGAAAUGCAUAAUACUAACAGCAUAAAUGCAGGCAAGGGAGAAAAGGAAGUCUACUGUUAUAAAUUUAUUGUACUAUACAUGAAGUCC